rnacentral:misc_RNA from 1 species
GAUGAAGAACGCAGCAAAAUGCGAUAAGUAAUGUGAAUUGCAGAAUUCAGUGAAUCAUCGAAUCUUUGAACGCACAUUGCGCCCGCUGGUAUUCCGGCGGGCAUGCCUGUUCGAGCGUCAUUUCAACCCUCAAACCCCCCGGGUUUGGUGUUGGGGAUCGGCUCUGCCUCACGGCGGUGCCGCCCCCGAAAUACAUUGGCGGUCUCGCUGCAGCCUCCAUUGCGUAGUAGCUAACACCUCGCAACUGGAACGCGGCGCGGCCAUGCCGUAAAACCCCAACUUCUGAAUGUUGACCUCGGAUCAGGUAGGAAUACCCGCUGAACUUAAGCAUAUCAAUAGCGGAGGA